GGAGAGUAUAGCUCAGUGGUAGAGCACAUGCUUAGCAUGCAUGAGGUCCUGGGUUCGAUCCCCAGUACCUCCA
rnacentral:tRNA from 1 species